CCCAAAUGACCCUGGUUAGUGUCAGGUCAGCAUAAAAAUUAUGGGCCACUGAGCUGUGUGUGUGUCCCCUGCACGGGACUCAUCCACCACAGCAGAUGAAAGACAGGUGGUUCUUUGACAAGAUUUAGAAGAUUUAGUGGAUAAAGAUGCUUUGUGCAAAGGGGGAAAGGCCUUACUUUCCCAGAGCCAGUGUUAACAUCAAGGCACUGAGCUUGCUGUCAAGAGCUUAGUUGGCUGUGAACCAUAGGUACCCUGCAGAGGACAGUCUCUCUGGACCCCUGCAGCUCUAUAAACUCGAAAGAACUGCAGGAUGUGCAUGGAGUCCGCCCCUCACUCUACUGAGAAUUAACAUGCCGUUCUUCUCGAGCUGUGUAAACUACGUUGUUUAUGAACCAGGAGCUGGCGAUUCGAUAGGCAGUGCACAUCAAGAAUAAUUAAAACGAAUGAUGGGCGGGACACAACGCUUACAGGAGUACACCAGCACCAGCCUCCUGUCAAAGCACCUUUUGGGUAUCACCAUGGCUCUUCCUGGAGACGGUCACAGAGAAUUGUGAAGUAGUUGUAUGUGUCUGCUUAUUGAAUUUUCAUGAUCAGGACCCUGAAGAGAAGAGGAAAACGAUGAGAGAUGCGAUCCAGCCUUAUGAAACUCACAUGUGGUGCAGGAGGUGAAUCAUAGCCACUUGAAGAGCUAACUACACUUCAAGGCAAUCUUGCCAUAAGCAGUGAAAGUGACAUGAAGACUCAGAAAAAACGAUCAAUCACUUACAACUGGAGCUGUCAAGGAAGAUCUCACAGUAUUUUUAUAUUGUCUUUGUGUACUUAGUUAUUACUCUUUUCCUAUAAGGGAGAUGCUGUGGGAUUCAUCUUCAACCUUUCCACAUUUCCCGGGAUAUGAUGAUCACUUAGUAGCCACCACUGAGUAGAAGAAAAUGAGCAAGCUGAGUGUCAUUUAACUCGAUGGAAGGGAUAGAAACUCUACUCAACAAGAUUAUGGACACACACACACACACACACACACACACACACACACAGAGGAGGUAUGCAAAAUAAAGAAGCAAAGAGCAUUUUCUGGAUAGUCAACACAUGACUCUCUUACACCUUUUCACUUAUUUUAGUAGCCCAUUUAGUUGUCCCAGAAGUCCCAUGACACAGUUACAAAUAUCUCUGCUUAAAAGACCAAGAACACAGAGUCUGAGAGCAGACAGGUGAUUUUUCCAUUUGUGCUAGACUUUGAAGUUCUUAGGCUGGCUGCUGGCAGGAAAAAGAUGAGGUUCACAUGGUCUCUGUGAGGUCAUGGCUGCCUCUAGCUAGGCUGUAGUACAUUACGGUUUGUUACUUGCUGUAGCUAGUUACAGCUCACUCAGUAUGUGACUCUGACUCUGUGGCUGGCUCGAACCAUGUUUAGGAUGUCAAACCCCAAUCCUCUUGGUAAAAGGUCCUCAAUGCUUGCCCUACACUCCUCUGUCCAGCCUGGCCCUCAGUGCUUGCCCUACGUUCCUCUGCCCAGCCUUGUUCUCAGGUAGCUGUUUCUAUUCCUCUCUAUCUACAUUCCCGGCUUCCUGGCUGCUUAUUUUUCUGACCUUCUUCCAAGUGCUUCCUCUUCUCUCCAGUGUGCUGAUUGUCCUGGUGUCUUCCCUGACCUAUCUCCAUGCCAUAUCCUCUUUUCCUUACAUGUAGGUACAGCAGUGAUCUUGAUAUCAUGGGGACUUCAUCCUUGUCACUUCUUCCCAAAUUGCACUGAUGACAGAGCCCCCUCUUCUCUCGCCAGAGUGCAUCUCACUAUUUCCACAGUUCCAAAUGGCCUUUCUAGGUCCGCAAAUGGAAAUAAAAGAGAAAAGGGCAUUUAUUCCCCUGGGUCAUGCUUCUGAAAUUUUACAUCAUCAAUAACCCUUUCUCAUCCUGCGGAAGGAAGAAGAAAAUACACCGAAGCUGUGCACAUCUGGGCAUGGAUUCACUCAGAGCCCAUGUGUGUGUGUGUGUUUUUUUUUAAUCUAAUUCUGCAAUCCCUGCACCCCUGGCAUUGUGUUCCGCCAUACUUCCAUUCCAUCACCUUGAGGCAUCUGUUAGCUGCUCAAAAAGAAUAGUGAGGAAGCUGUUUCACUUCAGCCAAGGGGCUACCCAUAGUGCAACUACACCUGCCUUGGCCUUCUCCUCCUGGCUUCAGAACUUCUGAGGCUCAGAGGGAAAUGCUGGUGUCCCAAGAGAGGGCAUUUCUUAAGAGCAGCAUGAAACAGCACCCCUGACCUGCUCUAGGGAUUAAUUAGCAAUUAGCAAAUCCUUUAGAACUUGGCUACGCUGAGUAGAAAAUCCCCAGAUUUGGACUAAUUUGCUAUUAUUUAAUGAGAUGAAGGGCCGUCCCCUCAUGUGUAACUUUUCGACUGUGUACAACCAAUGAUUCUAAGCCCUAUAUGACCAUCACUUCAUCCAAGGGGUCAGGCCUUGCCUCUGGAGCCUCGGUAUGGAGGAAAAAAGUGUGGCUGUCACUGUAAGCCAGACACAAGGGGAGUUUCACAAAUAGUCCUGUGGCUCCAUCGUCAAUAGAAGAAAAUACCAGAUGGAAAGUUGUACUGGGCCCCUUUACGAGGGCUUUUCUGGUCCCUUCUCUCUAGCUAAAACACAGCUGGAAGGGGAGACAUGAUCACCCAAGCAUCCAUCAUCCACCAUUCUUCUCGUCUAUCAACUUCCCUUGUGUGAUCCCAUCAGCUCCCGAGGGAGCCCGAAUGUGUACUUUCCAGUCACCCCAACUUCAGACAUCAGUCUGAACCUCUUUUUACGUUCCAUUUUACUUUUUAAAGAAAUCUGAUAAAAUCUCUGCUGUGCGUCAAAGGGAACACACACGUUUUUAGGUACAAGGACCAAACUAGAGUAGGACAUCAAAUUGCAUAUCAAAACUGCAUUUUGUGCGUUCAUUUAUGCCAUUAUUGAAACUAUAGAAAUCCCCCAAAUCUCCAUGUAUUGGCAACAACUAAAAGCCCUAGGCAAAAUGAAUCAGUAACCUUAACAAAAGUCUUUUUCUGAAGAGCUCACAUUUUACUGACUGAGUUCCUUUUGAAAUAGGGAAAUGAAGUGUGUGGGUGCAGGGCACAGCAGUGGACACCGGUAAUCCCAGCUCCUGGCAAGUAGAGAUGGAAGGAUCAGUCUAAGGUGAUCGUGGGUUACAUAUCAUUUUUCUCUACAGAAUCUGCUUCCUGAAAUGGCAGUAGCAUAGUGACUAAAGAUACUUAGUGCUGUUCCUGUUUGUAGAAUGCC
rnacentral:sRNA from 1 species